rnacentral:rRNA from 1 species
GAUGAACGCUAGCGGCGUGCCUAAUACAUGCGAGUCGAGCGAAUCUCUUCGGAGAUUAGCGGCGGACGGGUGAGUAACACGUAGGCAACCUGCCUGUAAGACUGGGAUAACUUCGGGAAACCGGAGCUAAUACCGGAUAGGUUUUCGUAUUGCAUGAUACGAAAUGGAAAGGCGGCUUUUAGCUGUCACUUACAGAUGGGCCUGCGGCGCAUUAGCUAGUUGGUGAGGUAACGGCUCACCAAGGCGACGAUGCGUAGCCGACCUGAGAGGGUGAUCGGCCACACUGGGACUGAGACACGGCCCAGACUCCUACGGGAGGCAGCAGUAGGGAAUCUUCCGCAAUGGACGAAAGUCUGACGGAGCAACGCCGCGUGAGCGAUGAAGGCCUUCGGGUCGUAAAGCUCUGUUGUUAGGGAAGAACAAGUACGAGAGUAACUGCUCGUACCUUGACGGUACCUAACCAGAAAGCCACGGCUAACUACGUGCCAGCCGCCGCAGUAAUAC